CCUCCUUUUCUUGGUGGAUAUCGGGUUGCAGUCCCUGUCCGUGUAAUGUACUUAAUGUAUGGAGGCAGAGGACAAGGGCUCUGGGCCCCUUGGCAUUAUAUCA
rnacentral:snoRNA from 1 species